ensembl:lncRNA
ACUAGGGUAGUAUAGGACUAGGGUAGUAUAGGACUAAGGUAGUAUAGGACUAGGGAGGUAUAGGACUAGGGUAGUAUAGGACUAUGGUAGUAUAGGACUAGGGUAGUAUAGGACUAGGGAGGUAUAGGACUAGGGUAGUAUAGGACUAGGGUAGUAUAGGACUAGGGUAGUAUAGGACUAGGGUAGUAUGGGACUACUAGUGGGGUUGUUAGACUGGGUAGUAUAAGACUAGGGUAGUAUAGGACUAGGGUAGUGGUGUUGUUAGACUGGGUAGUAUAGGGCUAGGGUAGUAGAAGACUAGGGUAGUGUGGUUGUUAGACUGGGUAGUAUAGGACUGGGUAGUGGGGUUGUUGGACUGGGUA